UUUUUUCACUUCUGUUUUGUUUUCAUUUGAGAUUCCUACAUUGGGUACAGUUUUUGUCUGGAAAAAACGGAAAUUCCCGGUUUUCUGAGUGGUCCGCAAACAUUUUACUGUGCGAAUAUCGAUGGCCAAAUUAUUCAGGUUAUUCCAUAACAGCACGAUUGAUUCAAUGUGACAACGAAUCGAUGAUAUGUGAAUGGAAUCCGCCGGAUGAUGAGUGCAUUAGUGUAGUCGCGUGAAAUUCAUGUCAGCUUGCGUGUGUAACUGCAUGCGACAUUCAUUAUAUCGAAAUUGAAGCAGGCAAGUCGGAGCACAAGAGCACUGUCACAUUCAGUCUUGAACGAAAGCUCCAGCCGUUCGGAACCAUUCGGCAGCGGUUUUCUCAAAUGUCAACCUGAAGGAAGUAAAUCAUAUGUGCUCACUUAAUGCCGGAGCGUAUCAGGACAGUUUGGCUCUUGCAACCGAAUAUUCAAUUAUUCUUGGUACAAUUAAUGAAAUUCAAAACUUACACAUUCGAACGGUAUAAAUGGGACCUGGAAGCUUCUCAAUAGUUUGGUGUUAUAACGGGGCGAAUGGAUCUUCAGGACUCGAGUGGUCUGACUCCUUCGAGACAGAGCGCGUCAACUCAGACGACAAAUGUAACUUACUCGAGCAACAUGGCACUGCUUAAGCCAGGAGCCAGUAGUGCCGAGUUUGGUCAAGAAGUUGAAAUUCACAAUCUACUUAUCAUCGAUCAGAAUACGUUCGAGUUGCUACAUGCACAUCAAUUCAUGCAAACGGAGUAUACUAUGUCACUGAUUCCGGCGAAGUUGGGUAACGACUCGAAUACUUAUUGCAUCGUCGGAACAGCACUGGUACAUCAAGCGGAACCGGAACCCAAAGUAGGAAGGAUUAUCAUCUAUCACUACGCGGAUGGAGCCCUCACUCAAGUUAGCGAGAAGGGAAUCAAGGGAGCGUGCUAUUCUCUCAUUGAGUUUAACCGUCGUGUAUAGGGCUCUUGCUACACAUACAUGCAGAGCAUGUGUUGGGCACACAUUCGCUUGUUUACAUUCGUAGUGUCUAUGCAGCAGAAGCGGAUUUUUAUCAAUCGGCGUUCUUGUAGAUGAUUUAAAUAGAGUUACGGUCAUUCUAAUAGUGCAUAGAGCUAACAUGAACUUUGUGAAACAGUUAGGCAAGCUAUUUUAUGAACAAGAGUUUUUGUGUAACGCAUAUUAUUUAGUUUACUAGCACCUAUUUCGCGAUGUUCAUUGAGCGACUCUCCCAUUAGAUUGGAAUCGAAAAAUUGGCAGAAAAAGGAUUAUCAACAUUUUCGCACCUAGAUCAAAGUCACAGAGUCUCGAGCUCACGUUUGAAUGCUUCCUUGUAUUUCCAUGAAUUGGUCAAUCGAUGGAUUUUUUCCGUUUCCGAUAAAUUUUCUUAUAAACGUAUUUAGCUUCUCCGCAGAGCAUUCGGGUACUCGGAAAUCAUAUCUGAGAGUUGGUUGAUAUUUCAGGCUGAAAAUGUCCUUAAUUUCAACAUAAUCAACUGCUUUUUUGGCGGAACUAGCCGCCGAUUAAGGAUAUCUGCACACGAAUAUUCAUUAUAGUUUAUUCUUUCACGAGACCAGCAAAAAGCUUAAAACCUAAAUGGGAGCACACUUCACCUAAUCCGGCUAUACAAUCGCAAUGUGCAGUUUGCACUAUUUCUGUGAAAAUUUUUGAAUAAUCAAUCUGCUUCCAUUGAUAUGAAUCAUGGCCAAAACAGAAAUUUCUAUUUUUCCCCGUGUGUAUGGCUUUGACGCUAAAAGUAAAUAUUUUUAUGUGAAGAAACAUAUAUUCGCAUGUUAUUCAUAUAGAUUAGCGCGUAAUCUUUAUAACUAUUUCGCUAAAAUAAUUAUUUAAACAAAGCUCAAUCUUGUCGCUCCAUAUAAUUCCUAUGGAGCGAUCACUUUUGCCUGCCCAACAGAUCACUAAUACAUAUGCACGCUGCAAGCGCCCUAUUAGCUAGCAUCAAUUCAACUGUACGAUUGUAUGAGUGGACUGAUGAUAAGAAUUUGCGACUUGAAUGUAACCAUUUCAAUAACGUGUUGGCAUAUAAAACCAAGGGCGACUUCAUUUUGGUGGGUGAUUUGAUGCGAUCUGUCACGCUGGAGGUAAUUUUGAGGAGAUCGCUCGCGACUAUUAACCAAAUUGGAUGACAGUGAUUUCCUCGGGCGGAUAACAGAACAAUCUAUUUGUUUGCCUGAAAGAUGGCUAAGGCCGCAGCAACGGACGACGAACGAUAGCAAGUACCAAAGGUUGCUCAAUGCGAUCUCGGUGAUAUGGUGAAUGUAUUCCGCCACGGUUCGCUCGUGAUGCAAAACUUUGGUGAGCGAACGACGGCGACAACGGGUUGUGUGCUAUUUGGCAUAGUCAGCGAUGCAAUUGGGAAAUUUGACUGACACAAUCAAAUCUGUUGAAAAUUGCAGAUCGACGUGGAUGGAACUAAGAAGGAAGCGGCCGUACAUGAUAUAAUCAAGAUUAUAGAAGACCUAACAUGGAUACAUUAGGAUGUCUAGUGUUGAUCAUUAUUAUUGAAUGGAUGCUAUCAGCUGUUUUCAGGUUGACAAAACGAGAAGUUACAAUUUUUUCUAAAAAAGUUGAUUAAUAAAUCAACUCAUUCAAAGAGAGAUGUUCGAACAGGCUGCUGGACGAAGAUCGAGCAAGCUCAUGAAUUUCAGCAAUGGUCGCGAAAAAUAAUUUCAUGUUUGUAGGGUAAUAAAGAAAUUUCAGUGAACGUAUUGUUUA